rnacentral:rRNA from 1 species
UACGGAGGAUUCAAGCGUUAUCCGGAUUUAUUGGGCGUAAAGGGCUCGUAGGCGGUUCGUCGCGUCCGGUGUGAAAGUCCAUCGCUUAACGGUGGAUCCGCGCCGGGUACGGGCGGGCUUGAGUGCGGUAGGGGAGACUGGAAUUCCCGGUGUAGCGGUGGAAUGCGUAGAUAUCGGGAGGAACACCAGUGGCGAAGGCGGCCUGCUGGACAUUAACUGACGCUGAGGCGCGAAAGCGUGGGGAGCAAACAGG